AUUGAACGCUGGCGGCAUGCCUUACACAUGCAAGUCGAACGGCAGCACGGACUUCGUUCUGCUGGCGAGUGGCGAACGGGUGAGUAAUAUAUCGGAACAUACCUUGUAGUGGGGGAUAACUAACCGAAAGAAUAGCUAAUACCGCAUACGAACUAAGGACGAAAGCGGGGGAUCUUCGGACAGCGUGCUAUAAGAGUGGCGGAUAUCUGAUUAGCUAGUUGGUGCGGUAAAGGCUCACCAAGGCGACGAUCAGUAGCUGGUCUGAGAGGACGACCAGCCACACUGGAACUGAGACACGGUCCAGACUCCUACGGGAGGCAGCAGUGGGGAAUUUUGGACAAUGGGGGCAACCCUGAUCCAGCAAUGCCGCGUGAGUGAAGAAGGCCUUCGGGUUGUAAAGCUCUUUUGUCAGGGAAGAAACGGUUGUGGCUAAUAUCCAUGGCUAAUGACGGUACCUGAAGAAUAAGCACCGGCUAACUACGUGCCAGCAGCCGCCGUAAUAC
rnacentral:rRNA from 1 species